rnacentral:tRNA from 1 species
GAGGGUAUAGCUCAGUGUUGGAGCUCAUGCCUAGCAUGCACGAGGUCCUGGGUUAAACCCCAGCACCUCCG